ACUCCUACGGGAGGCAGCAGUGGGAAUAUUGGACAAUGGGGGAAACCCUGAUCCAGCCAUGCCGCGUGUGUGAAGAAGGCCUUCGGGUUGUAAAGCACUUUCAGUGGGGAGGAAAGGUUGUUGGUUAAUACCUAACAGCUGUGACGUUACCCACAGAAACACCCGGCUAACUCCGUGCCAGCAGCCGCGGUAAUACGGAGGGUGCAAGCGUUAAUCGGAAUUACUGGGCGUAAAGCGUGCGCAGGCGGUCUGUUAAGCGAGAUGUGAAAGCCCCGGGCUCAACCUGGGAACUGCAUUUCGAACUGGCAGACUAGAGUCUUGUAGAGGGGGUAGAAUUCCAGGUGUAGCGGUGAAAUGCGUAGAGAUCUGGAGGAAUACCGGUGGCGAAGGCGGCCCCUGGACAAAGACUGACGCUCAGGCCACGAAAGCGUGGGGGAGCAAACAGGAUUAGAUACCCUGGUAGGCUCUGCU
rnacentral:rRNA from 1 species